CUGGCCAGUAACUUGACGCUGGCCUACUAUAAAAUAAUAUUGGAAAAGUGCGAUUUUUUGGAUAAUAAUCGCCUAAAACGCAAACUGUUUUGGAAGAUCAUGGAAUUUUGUGACAAAACGUGAAAGAAAUAAGUUGUUAUUUUGGCAUUCAGUUCUCAAGUGAGGAUUAUGUUGCAAGUGUCUUGUGUUAUGUAGUUUUAGUAUGUUGGAUUAGAUUUUAGUGGCUACUUGUUGCAGUAGCCUGUUAAACUUUGUUAAAUUCUAUUACGUUUUUAUUAUGAUUGGGUGGUUUUUGUAAGGGUGCUCUAUUAAACAUUGAUCACAAUUUCUUCAGCUUAA